AUUUAAAUAAUUUAAUAAAAAUAUUGAUUUGUGAUAUCAAAAAUAUGAUUAAAUUAUCAUUUUAAGUU
rnacentral:tRNA from 1 species